GCAAAUAACCCAUAUGAGGUUAGAUUUUGUCUGUGAAGCUACCGACAUUUAGCCUGACGACGUCAUACUCAAAGCCAUCGAUAUAUCGAUGGCUUUGGUCAUACUCAAUUCUUGUCAGAAAAAGGAUAUAGGCUGGGCUAAAUUUCGGUCUGGCAUUCAGGCUAACUGACAUUGUGAACUGGCCAAUAUUCAUAACCACAACAAUGAACAGGCUAGGAGCUCUGUGUUUUGCUGCUGCUAUCCUGGUGGUCACUGCUGAUAGAUAUGACUCUCUUUCUCCUGAAGACAAAAAACUCACCAACCAACUAAUCGAAAUAGCUAAUGAAAAAUUUGCAGGAUCUGGGAAACAUUUAGACUAUUCAGAACAGCUGGAAGAUACGUACGGAAGAGCCAGUUUGAGAAUAUUGUUGAAGCCAACAACAUGCCAGCGAAGCAACAAGGACUUGACACACCGACCAAACUGUGCGGUUCGGGAAAAUGCUAAUCCUCAAAUUGACUGUAUUGCUUGUGAUGGCUUCUUUGUUGACUGUCAGCGUCAACUUGAACUGUGGAAGACUGAGGCUAUCAGAGAGCAAUAUUGCGGAGUCCAUCGUAUUGGACAAUAUGGAGUAGCAUUAUCACUUCCAAGUUCAAGUUGAGUGGACCGCUUAGCCUACUUUCUAUGUCAUACAAAUAAAAAAGAUAUGAUGAACUUA